UUCUGUGAUGAGACAGGAAGUACCAUCUGAUGUGAUAACUGACGAUGGCAAAACCAGUUCCACUUCUUUCUGAGA